UAGUCCACGCCGUAAACGAUGGAUACUAGCUGUCCGGGGCUUUAAGUUCUGGGCGGCCAAGCGAAAGUGAUAAGUAUCCCACCUGGGGAGUACGUUCGCAAGAAUGAAACUCAAAGGAAUUGACGGGGCCCGCACAAGCGGUGGAGCAUGUGGUUUAAUUCGAUGAUACGCGAGGAACCUUACCAGGGCUUAAAUGCAUAUUGACAGGGCUAGAGAUAGCUUUUCCUUCGGGCAAUUUGCAAGGUGCUGCAUGGUUGUCGUCAGCUCGUGCCGUGAGGUGUCAGGUUAAGUCCUAUAACGAGCGCAACCCCUGUCGUUAGUUGCCAGCGAGUCAUGUCGGGGACUCUAACGAGACUGCCGGUGCAAACCGUGAGGAAGGUGGGGAUGACGUCAAAUCAUCAUGGGCCUUUAUGUCUGGGGGCUACACACGUGCUACAAUGGGUCUGUACAAAGGGGGAGCUAAGCCGCGAGGCGGGUGCAAAUCUCAAAAAGCAGAUCACAGUUCGGGA
rnacentral:rRNA from 1 species